AGGGGUCAGUUGGGGGUUGGGGGUGCCCCCUUUGAAGUUUUUGUGCUGUUGAUGGGCAGGGGGAAGGGGUUGGCGUCCCCCUGUCGAGUUUUCAAACCAUCAACAAGCGACAAGUGCAAUUUUAGGGCUAAAUGGAAGGAAGAAGGGCUGGGCCCUUGAGCAUUGGGGGCUAGAGGGGAGGGCAUGGGCUAAAACCUCAGAACCAAAAUGGCACCACUGCUCUGGCAUCGCCCAGGAGUGACUUCCCUCUGUUUUCUUGUUGCCGAUGCGUCUCGGUGGACGGACCGAACGUCAUCAGGCCGCGUUCUUCUUGUGCGGCAGGUGCAGUCUGUGCUUGAGCGGGACGUCUGAGCACUUGGCUCUCUAGCCGUUGUCCGCCUUGUGUAAUUACUGCUAUUUUAUGAGCCCGAUUGUUUGCUCUCUCUUUUUAAAAGGCUUUUGGGUUGACUUGAUAAAUGCAUUGAGUCAUUUUUAACGUCCAGCCAGCUCAACCGUGCGAGCUGACAGAGAUGAAGCGCUCCUUGUAAUGAACGUUGUGUGCUUGUACCCAGGUACACGAGGUCCUCGCUGCCGGCUGUUCUCUGUUCUUUCAGGGGGACACUUUGUAAUGAAUUCCUAUCAGAUGGUCUCCUGCUGCUUGUAUGGCCUGUUUGUGGCCACCGUGCAGCCGGCCUGGGAAGUGUAAUGGUUCUGUUACCAGCAUGCAUUACAGGAUUUUAAGUAUAUUUGAACCAUCAGCCUGGUUUAAAACUGAAUAAUAAUCUGCUGUAUUUUGUUCAGGGAAAGCUUAGCUCCAGCAAUCUCCUUUGACUGUGUGUGUGUGGUGCUGUUUUUUGUCAUGGAGGGGUCCCAGGGUGACCCUAUUCUCACUUUUAGACCUGAACAGAGUGUACCAAAUGCCCAUUGAAGCCCCUGUAUAUUUACGAUCACCAACCUGUCACCUCCACUUAUGGUCACCACCAGGGUCGACUGCUUCUGCGACUUAGAUAGAUAGAUACUUUAUUAAUCCCAAGGGGAAAUUCACAUACUUAGUAGCCCCCCCCCCCCCUUUUCUCUCAUAUCUAUAAUUCCAGGUGACAGGACAGAGCAGCGAAAUGAGCAGGAGAGAAGGCUUACACUAGUUAUGAAAUCUUCUAUCUGUCCGGACCUAAGGUUUGCAGGUCACCAUCUAUUGAAAUGUGUUUUGUAAUGUCUGUAGUAAUCAAAUGCACUGCAACUUUCAUUCCAACAGGUGGCGCAUCACAAAGUAUUAGCAUGCCUUUAUGAAUCCCAUACCAAAUGGCCUAUGACACAGCAGCCAGACUGAAACACAGAUGCACCCAUGGGCGGUCCUUUCAUCAUCCAUGCAUGACAGAGUAAUGCUCUCCUACUGAAGGGUCCUAAUGUGCAUCAAAUACUAUCAAUACAACCUGGAUGGAUAGCAGCUGUUCUUGCUGACUUCUAUAUCCAUCCGGCCAUUACACUGUUGGACUUAUUCAGCGCUAAAGUUUGCGGUGCACCGUUUAUUGAAAUGUGUUUUGUAAUGUGUGUAGGAAUCGAAUGCACUGCAACUUUCAUUCCCACAGGUGGCGCAUCACAAAGUAUAAGCAUGCUUUUAUGAAUCCCAUACCAAAUGGCCUAUGACAGAGACACAGCAGCCAGACUGACACACAGAUACACAGACGCACACAUGGGCGGUCCUUUCAUAAUCCGUGCAUGACAGAGUAAUGUUCUCCUACUGAAGGGUCCUAAUGUGCCUACAACAGCAGAAAAGUACAAUGAGUGCAUCAAAUACUAUCAGUACAACCUGGAUGGAUAGCGGCUGCCCUUGCUGGGAGUCUAGCCUCAAUGCAUCUUAGGGGGCUUAGCUGAUUGGUUUCCUGAUCUGGUGUGGGCGUGGUCUCUGGAGGAACCAAUUAGAGUCCGAGACCCUGAGCCAGCCUAGAUGUCAGCUGCACAGAAUGUGGACAAGUUCUUCAACUGCCUCCAUUUUUCAUUUUCCCACAAUUUUUUUUUCCGCUCAUUUCCAGGGGGAGUCGCCUUCCUUACAGGAAAUGAUAGAAUUUUGCUGACAUGUCGAUCCUCACGGUCGGGUUCUUUUAUGUUUCGAAGGUAAAACGCUUUGUUAAUUCUUACUGAAAGGUUAAUGUGCCGACCAUGAAAACUGAAAUGGACCGGACAAAAGUGACAGUGGCCCACCGGUAUGAAUUACUUUAAUCCCGCUCGCCCCCCACUUCCUGGUGUAAAAGUAAAUUUGCACGUGACUAGCUGAGGAGUCGUUCUGUCCCGUUUCUCCAUUUUCAACAUUAACAUCUCACUAGUAAAGGUGGUCCAUACUUAUCGAACUAUCACAGUAUUAGAGAUCCAGUGUCAGGUUAUUCUUCCUCCGCUCCAGGGUAUCUACCAAGGUGGGAAUAGAAGGUGUGAUUCUCUAAUUCUUAUUUAUUAUUAAUAUUUGUGUCAAAUUAUUGAGCAUUUUUUAUUCAUAUUUAAGUAUCGCAAUGUUCUGUUUCUUAACAUUUAACAGAUUAGGACUUUGAUGACGGCUGUUUUCACUUUUUGAAAUAUUAGAAUAUUUAAUACUGUCAAGUAACCAAGUAUGGCCAGACUGUGUCCCCUUGCUGCCAGAUUUUCAGUAAUCAUCCUGGUCCGUUUCUCAAAAUUCACAAAAUUAUCAUUAUUAUUGUGGGUUGUUUUUAUUGAACUAUCACGACUUUGAUGAUAAUAAUAAUGCAUUUUAUUUAUAUGGCACCUUUCCCAUGGCUUUAUUACUUCAUACCAGAUGUCCGUCACUGGCCAGACCCCCAGUCUGUCUCUUCUCUGCCAAACCGUGAGCAGUAGUUAUAUUGUUCUUUGUUUCCCAACAUUUGCCGAAAACGACUUCAUCAAGGGCUGUCCUUACUUCUAAAUUUAUUAUGAUGUUCAUUGCUUCUCUGAGGUUUGUCUGGAUGCACUAAAAUUUCAUGAUACUAGAUAUGAUCAGAUAUUAGCUGAUGGUCAUACUAGUUUUUAAGAAAUGGUUACCAUGUGUCUGUUUUUCAAAAUUCACAAAAAAGUCCCAUCAUUGAGUGCUGUGUUUUUCUUAGAUAAUAAAAUAUCACAUAAUUUGAUAUUAUUACUAUCCUCUCUCUGCUAGAUAUUCAGUAGUCAUCAUGAUCUGCUUCCAUAAAAUUUUCACAUCUUUGGUGAUCUAUUGAAAUUUCACAAAAUCGCAUCAUAUCAGAUAUCAGCCAGUGACGAGGCCAUUUCUUCUUGGCAAAAUCAUUACAGUUGUUAUCAUGUUCUGUUUCUCAACAUUCAUCGAGAAAUCACAUCAUGAGAUUCAGAUUUCUGGGCCCUCAUUGAGCAUUCUUACUGAUAAAUGUAUCGUGAUAUUUACCACACCACUGAUAAAUAUCAUGAUAUGUUUAUCACAUCACUGAUAUUAGAUAUUGCCAGAUUUCCGCCAAUGAUCAGGCCAUCUUUGGCAGAUUUUCAGCAGUAGUCACCUUGAUCUGUGUCUCAACAUUAAACUAAAAAUGAUAUUGUCAGCGAUUAUCUUUACAGGCCUAUCCUAAUAUGCGUUGCAUCAUUGCAUAUUGAAAUAUCAUGAUAUUAUCAGAUAUCAGGCAAUGGUCAGGCUAUCCCUUCUUUUCCAAAUUCUGCAAAGUUUUCACCUUGAUCUCUUUCUCAGCAUUCACCUGAACAUUACAUUAUUGAGGAUUGUCGCAAUCGGCUUGGCAUAAUAUUUGUUGCAUCAUUGCAUACUAAAAUAUCACGAUAUUUGAUAUUCUCAGAUAUCACACAAUGACCAGGUUGUCUCUUCUUUGCCAGAUUUUAGAAGUGAUCUUCUUGGUUUAUUUCUCAACAUUCACCUAAACAUUAGAAUUGUAAUAAAAUUGGUAAAGGGUUGUUCUUAUAGAUUUCUCCUAAUAUUUUUUGCCUCAUUGCAUAUUGGAAUAUCAUGAUAUUUUGCCUCAUUGCAUAUUGGAAUAUCAUGAUAUUCCAUAUUACAAUAUCACGAUAUUUUAUAUUAUCAGAUAUCACACAAUGACCAGGUUGUCUCUUCUUUGCCAGAUUUUAGAAGUGAUCUUCUUGGUUUAUUUCUCAACAUUCACCUAAACAUUAGAAUUGUAAUAAAAUUGGUAAAGGGUUGUUCUUAUAGAUUUCUCCUAAUAUUUUUUUGCCUCAUUGCAUAUUGGAAUAUCAUGAUAUUCCAUAUUACGAUAUCACGAUAUUUUAUAUUAUCAGAUAUCACACAAUGACCACAUUGUCUCUUCUUUGCCAGAUUUUAGAAGUGAUCAUUUUGGUCUGUUUCUCAGCAUUCGGCAAAAAAUUUGAAUUUUAACAAAAUUAUUAAAGGCUUAUUCUAAUAGAUUUGUCACAAUAUUCUUUGCGUUGUUGCAUACUGAAAUAUCAUGACAUUGGAUAUUAUCAGAUAUUACACAACGAAACAGGUUGUCUCUUCUCUGCCAGAGUUUAGAAAUGAUUUUCUUGAUCUUCUUCUCAAUUUCACCAAAACAUUACGCUACUGUGGAUUUUCUUUAUUGGCUUGUCGUAAUAUUUGUUACAACAUUGCAAAUUGAAAUAUCGCGAUAUUAGAUAUUAUCACAUAUCACACAACAACCAGGUUGUCUCCUUUCUGCCAGAUUUUAGAAGUCAUCUUCUUGGUUUAUUUCUCAACAUUCACCUAAACGUUAGAAUUUUAAUUAAAUUGGUAAAGGGUUGUUCUUAUAGAUUUGUCCUAACAUUUUUUGCCUCAUUGCAUAUUGGAAUAUCAUGAUAUUCCAUAUUAUCAGAUAUUAUUGUCUCUUCUCGGCCCAAGAGAUUUGUCAUAAUAUUCUUUGCAUUGUUGCAUAUGGAAAUAUCCCAAUAUUAUCAGGUAUCAGGCAAUGGUCAGGCCAUCCCCUCUAUGUACAAAAUUUCGGGAAGUGGUCAGCAUGUCCAUUUGUCACCUUUCACAACUACAUAAUAUCAGUGAGAAUUGUGCAUACUUAUAGAAAUACCACGAUAUUAGAUACUAACAUAUAUCACAAAAUGUAUUGGGCUCUCUCUUCUCUGGCACGUUUUGAGAAGCGAUUGUCAAAAUUCACCAAAACAUUACAUUAUUGAGGGCCCUCCUUAGAGAUUUGCCUUGCUAUUCAUUGCAUCACUGAGUAUUGAUAUAUCACGAUACUAUCAGAUAUCAGGCAGUUGUCGGGCUGACCUUUCCCUGCCAGAUUUUGAGAAGUGGUCAUCGCAUCUUUUUCUCAACAACUGGAAAAAUGAAAGAAACGUAGCCAAUCGUAUCCCUCAAAUGUUGUAAGUUGCCUUGGAUAAAGGUGUCAGACAAAUAAUAAAUAAUAUUAGCUGAAAUAUCGUGAUAUGGUAAAGUACAUUAUCGGAUAUCAGCCAGGAGCCAAGCUGUGCUCUCUCUACCAGAUUUUGAGGAGAGUCACUUCACCAUCUUAUCGUAAAUUCAUCACGACAUCACACCGAUGAGCGUUGUCCUUAAGUAUUCGAACAUGACCUCGUUUGAUGUCAUCACACAUAAGCCUAUGGCCAGGCUAUCCCCUCUUUGACAGAUUUUAAGAUAGAGUCGUCAUUCCUUUUUUCUCACCACAGAAGCAACGAGGGCUGUUCAGAACUGCUGAAGUUAUCACAAUGCACCAUAUUUUUGGAUCUUCUUCUUUGCCAGGCCCAUCCUUUCACCGCCAUCUCCUGGACCUUAAGCUUCUCUUUAUCAUUUUGUCCUCCAUGCUGACUCAAGCAAGGGUUUCCACCACUGUUGGGCUGGUAUUAAAUUUCAUUUACUUUCGUAAAUUAUGAAAGACAACAGAGAGAAGCCCGGUGAGUGAUGUUCGCCUUUGAUUCCUCAAGAAAUUGUGGACGAGACGUCUCCACACUAGUUCUAAGGGGGGGGGGGGGGGGUACAGGAAAUGAUCUGCCCAUCCCGUCCCUCUCCCACCCCCCGAAUCUGUAGGUGUUUCUCGAUAAAGGAGUAUUACUGUCAUGCCGGCCACUCGAGUGCCGUCCCGGGCCCAGGCCAGCUCACCUCAACUUUGGCUCCCCUUUGGUUUUUUCGGACUGGCCGCUGUUUCUAUCUAUCUAUCUAUCUAUCUAUCUAUCUAUCUAUCUAUCUAUCUAUCUAUCUAUCUAUCUAUCUAUCUAUCUAUCUAUCUAUCUAUCUAUCUAUCUAUCUAUCUAUCUAUCUAUCUAUCUAUCUAUCUAAGGUUGACCCUUCUCCCCCUUUCUCCUCGUGGUAAUGCCUGUGAGUGAUUUACUUCAUUUUGUGCUUUUGUUUGCUUAAUGUUGUGUUCCUCUAGUAAACAGAGUGCUGGUCGAUUGUUUGCAUGACCUGGUUUAUAGAUGUACAUUUUUAAUCCAAGAUCUAUUCUAUAUUGUUCAAGUACAAAGAGAGGAAUUUUCACAUUUGAUGCCUUUUUUUUUUUUUUGUUUCUGGGACAGCAUACCUUCACGGCUGUCGAGUAGCUUCAUUGAACGAUUUUUAAUGAGCAACAGCCGUCUCGUGGUAAAACCCGAGCACUGAAGUUCACUUCUUUAAUGUAAACACCGGAGCUGAACUGUGGCUCUGCCACCUGCUUUGACAACCUGUUCGAGUCACUUGUCAUCCGUUUUUUUUGUGGCAGACUCUCUCCAUACAUUUUUUCCCCUCUUCAUCGACUUUCUCUUUUUUCUUUUUUUUUUAAAUGCUAACUUUUCCAGCUUGUGGUUUGCACAUAUGCUGCUGUUUAAAAAAAAUUUUAAAAGUUCGACCAGACCACAACCCUGGAAAAGUCAGCCAUCUCGCCUCCUGCCACCUCGCUCAUCGGCCGUGUAUACUUCCAGUGCUGGCCGCUCGAGAAACAGAGCUGCAGUCUUUUAUUCGUCUAAUCUCAGGAACUCUCCGGGGGCCCCGCUGGAACUAUAAAGCAUAAGACACCACAUACUGCACUGUGUGGGGAAACAAUCGGGAAAUUCAUUUACCCGGGACUGUAACUUACUGCACAACCGGGACGCCAUUGGCAAAACAUUAGAGAGGAAUGGGAACUGCAGCUUCACUUAGCAUUUAGAGGGCAAGACAUUUUAUAUAGCAACUCGGAUGAGAAAAGGCGAAGGAAAAAAAGCUUUAGGGAAUAUUAGGUUUCAGUAUUACUGAAUUAAAUAUACGGAAUACACUGCAGACUUAAACCUCCUGGCGUGACUGUAAGAGCAGAUGAGGAGGCAGUCAGUAACAGAGGAUGAGGCCUGGAGGAGCACGGAGCUGAAGAGAGCUGAACAGGAUAGAUAGAUAGAUAGAUAGAUAGAUAGAUAGAUAGAUAGAUAGAUAGUGUAGUUGGUAGGAUUAGAUAGAUAAUUUUAAUCUUAGUGUAGUUGGCAGGAUGGAUAGAUAGAUAUGAAAGGCACUAUAUAAUAUGUAGAUGGGUAGAUAGAUUGAUGUGAAAGGCACUAUAUAAUAGAUAGAUAGAUAGUGUAGUUGGUAGGAUUAGAUAGAUAACUUUAAUCUUAGUGUAGUUGGCAGGAUGGAUAGAUAAUUUUAAUCUUAGUGUAGUUGGCAGGAUGGAUAGAUAGAUAUGAAAGGCACUAUAUAAUAGUUAGAUGGGUAGAUAGAUUGAUGUGAAAGGCACUAAAUAGAUAGACAGAUAGAUAGAUAGUGUAGUUGGUAGGAUUAGAUACAUAAUUUUAAUCUUAGUGUAGUUGGUAGGAUUAGAUAGGUAAUUUUAAUCUUAGUGUAGUUGGCAGGAUGGACAGAUAGAUAUGAAAGGCACUAUAUAAUAUGUAGAUGGGUAGAUAGAUUGAUGUGAAAGGCAUUAUAUAAUAGAUAGAUAGAUGUGAAAGGCACUAGAUAGAUAGAUAGAUAGAUAGAUAGAUAACUAAUUUAGAGAGAUACGAAAGGCAUUAUUUAAAAUAGAUGGUUAAGAAAAUUAUUAUGCAAUUUAAGUAGAUAAGAAAUGCACUAUAUAAGAUAAAUGGAUAAACGUAUUAUACAUGAUAGAUUGAUAGUAGAGGCCUGAUCUUAUUUCCAAAAAUGUGAAAGGCACUAUAAGACGGAUUUAAAAAGGCAUUAUACAAAAUAGAUAUGAAAAGCAUUUUAUAAUUUAGAUAGAUAGAAAGGGUGCUAUAUUAGACUGAUAAUUAAGAAAGGCAUUGUGUAAUUUAGAUAUAUAUGGAAGACACUCGGAUAGAUAGAUAGAUAGAUUUGAAAGGAAUUGUGUGAUCUCAGCAUGAAAGGCAGUAUAUAAGGUAAAUGGGUAAGAAAGGCGCUUUGUAAGACAGACGGGUGCAGAUGAACAACAAGACAGACAGACCAGCAGAUGUGAAAGGCGCCAUAUCACACUCAAAUUUACAAGAUUAGUAGGUCUUAUCUUUGGUAGAAGAUCAAAUGAGUGCCCCAUGUCUACCAGCCUGGUCUGUGUUUUUGACCCAGUGACUGACUGACUGGAGGGUCGCCCGCUCCUGACUCUAUGCCAUCUGCUCCCCCCAGCAGUGCUUUGGCACCAUGCCGUGUGUCUGUGGGCUCACUGGUUAAACCUUUGGGGGGGGGGGGGGGUGCCUCCCAACAUGUGCUGAAACCUUCAGGAAAGAACUCUCAAGAAACCACCCAGCAAUUCCCAGUGCAGAGAAAGUGUGGUGGGCUACAGAAGGGCUGUAAUUAGAAUUUGCCAAAACCCCAAAAGCGAGGCCGAGUGGGAAGCAGGCGUCCCCCUGAGUGAGUUGUGUCCCCCGCCACCCCCCUAAUUGUGGUCAGGCGCAGCUCUGCAGGGACCCCUCCCAGUGUGAUUACAAGCGGGGCAGGGUGGAGUACUGGACUGGUCAGUUAAACCAGCGAGGUGUGGAGAUCGGCUUUUUAAGAUUUAAAUUACGACCAAGAGUAAAGCCGAGGCGCUCCCGACUCAGACGCUCUGCGCUCCCCUCGGCCCAACCGGCUGCAGGGUCUCAACUACAAACUCCUUCCCAGUGACCUUGCUGGAUUUUUAUUUAUUUUUUUUUUUUAAAGAAUGCCACUCAGUCCAUCUUUUAGGCACCAGAAACACCUGCAAGUUUGGUCACCACGCCGAAUUUCCGAGACCUGCUGCUCCGUGGCCACUCCUCGAUGUGCCACUCCGGCUGUGCCCGAUGUCCCUGAUCCAAGUAACCCGGUCACUUUUGUGAAUGUUCCUCUCUUUAUCUGCUUUUCUGUCACUUUCCUUCCAUUUUUAUUAUUGAAUCUUUUAUCGGAAAUAAUAUUAGUAUAUUAUAAAUAUAUAAAUACAUAUAUAUAUAAAUAUAUAUAUAUAUCUUUUUUGUAAAAGCUAUUCUGAGCUACUUAUGUAUGGAUGCAAUGCAUCGUGGGGUUAUUGGAUUACCAUGGAUUACUGCUCAAUAUUAAAGCCAAUGAUUUGUAACUUUGAACAUUUGUUAAUGGCCAGUAAAAUAAAGAAAUUCCUUGUCUAUGCA